rnacentral:rRNA from 1 species
GACAUAAUGCAACUAGCACAAUCUAAUAAUCACCACCACCACCACCACUAAACCCAGCUUUCUUAUACGACCGUACCGCAAACCGACACUGGUGCGCGAGAUGAGUAUUCUAAGGCGCUUGAGAGAACUCAGGAGAAGGAACUCGGCAAAUUGACACCGUAACUUCGGAAGAAGGUGUGCCCUAUUAGUGUGUAGUGAACAACGAAGCAUGAAUGGGUUGCAAAAAAUCGGUGGCUGCGACUGUUUAUUAAAAACACAGCACUCUGCAAACACGAAAGUGGACGUAUAGGGUGUGACGCCUGCCCGGUGCUGGAAGAUUAAAUGAUGGGGUGCAAGCUCUUGAUUGAAGUCCCAGUAAACGGCGGCCGUAACAAUAACGGUCCUAAGGUAGCGAAAUUCCUUGUCGGGUAAGUUCCGACCUGCACGAAUGGCGUAACGAUGGCCACACUGUCUCCUCCUGAGACUCAGCGAAGUUGAAAUGUUUGUGAUGAUGCAAUCUCCCCGCGGAAAGACGGAAAGACCCCAUGAACCUUUACUGUAGCUUUGUAUUGGACUUUGAACAGAUCUGUGUAGGAUAGGUGGGAGGCUUUGAAGCAGGGUCGCUAGAUCUUGUGGAGCCAACGUUGAAAUACCACCCUGGUGUGUUUGAGGUUCUAACCUAGGUCCAUUAUCUGGAUCGGGGACAGUGCAUGGUAGGCAGUUUGACUGGGGCGGUCUCCUCCCAAAGCGUAACGGAGGAGUUCGAAGGUACGCUAGUUACGGUCGGACAUCGUGACGAUAGUGCAAUGGCAUAAGCGUGCUUAACUGCGAGACUGACAAGUCGAGCAGAUGCGAAAGCAGGACAUAGUGAUCCGGUGGUUCUGUAUGGAAGGGCCAUCGCUCAACGGAUAAAAGGUACUCUGGGGAUAACAGGCUGAUACCGCCCAAGAGUUCAUAUCGACGGCGGUGUUUGGCACCUCGAUGUCGGCUCAUCUCAUCCUGGGGCUGUAGCCGGUCCCAAGGGUAUGGCUGUUCGCCAUUUAAAGAGGUACGUGAGCUGGGUUUAAAACGUCGUGAGACAGUUUGGUCCCUAUCUUCCGUGGGCGCUGCAGAUUUGAGGAAGCCUGCUCCUAGUACGAGAGGACCGGAGUGGACACACCUCUGGUGUAUCGGUUGUCACGCCAGUGGCAUUGCCGAGUAGCUAAGUGUGGAAGAGAUAACCGCUGAAAGCAUCUAAGCGGGAAACUCGUUUCAAGAUGAGAUCUGCCGGGGCCUUGAGCCCCCUAAAGAGUCGUUCAAGACCAGGACGUUGAUAGGUCAGGUGUGGAAGC